ACGUACAAGCAGUGGGAGCACAGGUUUACCUGUGUGACUGCGUACCUUUUGUAUAAUGGGUCAGCGACUUAUAUUCUGUAGCAAGGUUAACCGAAUAGGGGAGCCGGAGGGAAACCGAGUCUUAAUUGGGCGUUAAGUUGCAGGGUAUAGACCCGAAACCCGGUGAUCUAGCCAUGGGCAGGUUGAAGGUUGGGUAACACUAACUGGAGGACCGAACCGACUAAUGUUGAAAAAUUAGCGGAUGACCUGUGGCUGGGGGUGAAAGGCCAAUCAAACCGGGAGAUAGCUGGUUCUCCCCGAAAGCUAUUUAGGUAGCGCCUCGUGAAUUCAUCUCCGGGGGUAGAGCACUGUUUCGGCUAGGGGGCCAUCCCGGCUUACCAACCCGAUGCAAACUGCGAAUACCGGAGAAUGUUAUCACGGGAGACACACGGCGGGUGCUAACGUCCGUCGUGAAGAGGGAAACAACCCAGACCGCCAGCUAAGGUCCCAAAGUCAUGGUUAAGUGGGAAACGAUGUGGGAAGGCCCAGACAGCCAGGAUGUUGGCUUAGAAGCAGCCAUCAUUUAAAGAAAGCGUAAUAGCUCACUGGUCGAGUCGGCCUGCGCGGAAGAUGUAACGGGGCUAAACCAU
rnacentral:rRNA from 1 species